GUGGGGAAUCUUCCGCAAUGGACGAAAGUCUGACGGAGCAACGCCGCGUGAGUGAAGAAGGUUUUCGGAUCGUAAAGCUCUUUCGUUAGGGACGAACGUGCUCUUUGUGAAUAAUGAGGAGUAAUGACGGUACCUAAAUAAGAAGCCACGGCUAACUACGUGCCAGCAGCCGCGGUAAUACGUAGGUGGCAAGCGUUGUCCGGAAUUAUUGGGCGUAAAGCGCGCGCAGGCGGGAUAUCAAGUCUGUCUUAAAAGUGCGAGGCUCAACCUCGUGAGGGGACAGAAACUGGUAUUCUUGAGUGUCGGAGAGGAAAGUGGAAUUCCAAGUGUAGUGGUGAAAUGCGUAGAGAUUUGGAAGAACACCAGUGGCGAAGGCGACUUUCUGGACGAUGUCUGACGCUGAGGCGCGAAAGCUAGGGGAGCGAACGGGAUUAGAUACCCCGGUAGUCC
rnacentral:rRNA from 1 species